rnacentral:rRNA from 1 species
UACGUAGGGUGCGAGCGUUGUCCGGAAUUAUUGGGCGUAAAGAGCUUGUAGGCGGUCUGUCGCGUCUGCUGUGAAAAUCCGGGGCUCAACCCCGGACUUGCAGUGGGUACGGGCAGACUAGAGUGUGGUAGGGGAGACUGGAAUUCCUGGUGUAGCGGUGAAAUGCGCAGAUAUCAGGAGGAACACCGAUGGCGAAGGCAGGUCUCUGGGCCACUACUGACGCUGAGAAGCGAAAGCAUGGGGAGCGAACAAG